UACGUAGGGUGCAAGCGUUGUCCGGAAUUAUUGGGCGUAAAGAGCUCGUAAGGCGGUCUGUUACGUCGGCUGUGAAAACCUGGGGACUCAACUCCGGGCCUGCAGCCGAUACGGGCAGACUAGAGUUCGGCAGGGGAGACUGGAAUUCCUGGUGUAGCGGUGAAAUGCGCAGAUAUCAGGAGGAACACCGGUGGCGAAGGCGGGU
rnacentral:rRNA from 1 species